rnacentral:rRNA from 1 species
AGUUAUUAGGUUGUAAUAAUAAUUUUACCUGCUCAGUGCUAAAUGAGGUAAAUAGCUGCAGUAUAUUGACUGUACUAAGGUAGCAUAAUCAAUAGCUUUUUAAUUGAAGGCUGGUAUGAAAGGUUAAUACCAUAUAGAGAGUUUUGUUAAUUAAUUUUGAAUUUAAGUUAAUAGUAAAAACGCUUUUAUUAAUCCUUGGGACGAGAAGACCCUAGAAGCUUUGUAUGCUCAGGCAUUUUGGUUGGGGUGACUAAUGAAGAUAUUAAUCUUUAUUUAUAUAAAUAUAUAUAUAAAAGAAAGUUACUCUAGGGAUAACAGCGUAAUUCAAUUUAAGAGUUCUUAUUAAUAAUUGAGUUUGCGACCUCGAUGUUGAAUUAAAUGGAAAUAAGGUGUAGGAGCUUUAUAGUUAUAGUCUGUUCGACUAUUAAAUUUUUACA